rnacentral:lncRNA from 1 species
UUGAGACAGGAUUUCUCCGUGUAGCCAUAGCUGUCCUGGAACUCACUCUGUAGACCAGGCUGGCCUCGAGCUCAGAAAUCCGCCUGCCUCUGCCUCCCGAGUGCUGGGAUUAAAGGCGUGCAACACCACUGCCCAACUAUAUUCUUCUUUUGAAGAACCUAACUUUGCUGGUUGUUCUAGAAGUGGAGUGCUCAGGUCUCUGGCCUCACUGCACUCACCGACUUAAGAUUCUGGCAGACAUUGUGCACAUGCUACGGUGCUGAGGUAAUGGCUCCUGGUGCGGGGCUGAGGAAGCUGUGAAGAAGGCAGAGUCACAGAAAACAGUGGUGUUAAGUAGCAAAGGGUAUGCCGUAUUCCGGAGACCAUCGGGGCAUCUGCUGAUGGAACAUGAUGAGUGAGGGAAGGGAGACCCCAGAUUCUGCUGAAGAGUAAGUGUUUACUGAGAGGGUGGGUGGGUCUAGCCUGUAGUAUGUGUUUGCCGAGAGGGUGAAUGGGCCUUGCCUGCUACAGCUGUGAUUCUGUCAGGUCCUUAUAAACAAAAGGGAACAAAACCUCUACAUGAUGAUGAUGAAUAAGGGGAUGGUGCCCAAUCUGGUCAGUUGAAGCUCUAUAGUGUCUCACUUGGGUAUCCAGACUUGAAGCCAUGUUAUUCCAGGCAAACACACAGGGGCCUGCUGUGUGGUUCAGGAUACUGACUAGUCUAUAUUGGGAGUCCUUAGAGUUACCGUGUGUGUGUGUGUGUGUGUGUGUGUGUGUGUGUGUGUGUGUGUGUGUGUGUGUAUGCGUGUGCACUGGCUAUAUCACACGUAUGUUGAGGCCAGAGGUUGACAUCAAUGCCUUCCUCAGUUGCUCUCCACUUAGUUUUCUGACAAGGUCUCUCACUGAACCCGGAGCUUCCUGAGUUGCCGGCUGCCCAGUGGUCCACAGAAGUCCACAGGUUCUGUCUUCCCAGUCCUGGGAUUCAGGUGCCUGUGAAGGCCAGAAGCUGCAGUCACAGGCUGUUGUGAGCUGCCCUGUGGGAGCCGAAGCUAGAUCUUCUGGAGGAGUCGCCUGUGCGCUCAACCGCUGACCCAUCUCUCUUGCCACCUACAAGUCUUAUUUUUGAACAUUGAAACACAAUAUGGCAUGACUUAUGCAUAUAAAAUAUCCCUCAAGUAUGUGUUCAUUGUAAUUUUU